AGUCAACUUCAAAGUGGAUUUGUUGUGCGAAGAGUGCGUUAUGACCCGUGGCCGCCUGCCUGGUGGGGGCGGUUCCUCCGUUGUGGGUAAACGGGAAACCCGACUCUACGAACCCGAGGAAAGGCUGCACAGCAGUAGUAAGGGCGUUAAGACCGGAGCUUUUUGUAGUGCUAGCAGGAAUGCAAGUGAAUGAAUCCCAUCCCCUAGCGAGUGAAGUGCUUACGCCCCUUUGGGGCGCGCUAGCGCUUUACUAAUAUAAUAGAAUCGUUCCCGUUAUAUAUAUAUAAUAGAAAGUCAAGGGGGCUGAGAAGCUGUUGCUUGCUGUCUACUUCGCGAGCCCACUGCCCCGUUCUGUAACUUCCCUUCUUUCGUCCGUCCACGAGGCUGUAAAAAGAGAGAAAGGGGCGGCUAUCUAGUGGGAGUCGUUUCGGUUGUAUGCCACGAGGUCCCUAUGGACAAGGGGACAAGUGAAUCAUCGCUUUUGGGCGCAGGCAGCCCUCUACCAUCCAUCCCAUUGCAUUCCAUCGUCUCGUAUUGUACUGUACCGUAUCAGACCAGAUACAUCCAUUGAGUGAGAGAAAGGUAGUGUAACUAAUUAUAUAUUCUUCAUUUUUAUAUUGAUAGGGAUCCCCAUUCAUUCCUAGAUUCCCGUCACUACGGAUUGAUUGCCCCUACCUAACUACAUGGUAGUGGUCUAGGGAGCGAAAUUGCUAGAGCACGGGAGAAUGAAGAGUAAUGAUUUCAGCAAGAGCAGCCGGACGGACUACUAUAGUGAGUCUAGUGACUACUAGAGUAGAGUUGAGUCAAAAGGUAUGGUAUAGCAGCCUUCCGAGCGAGCCUCUGGGAUCUCCUGUAAACCCCCAUGAUGUGGUAAAGGGAGGAUAUUAGGGGAAGCAGUGAGUGGAGAUUCCCCUGCAGAGAGCCGGAUGAGGGGAGACCUUCACGUCCGGUUCGGAGGGCGGGGAUAUCCCGACCCUACUAUCAUUAUGCCUUUGCAAUGUUA
rnacentral:misc_RNA from 1 species